AUGUUCUUUUGGUUUUAUUUAAAAGAUUUGGCCUGCUCACUGAGGAUUUAAAGAGCUGCAGUAUUAUGACUGUACAAAGGUAGCAUAAUCAUUAGUUUUUUAAUUGGAGACUGGUAUGAAAGGUUUGACACGGAAGCACUGUCUUAAAUCUAAUAAUUGAAUUUUUCUUUUUUGUUAAAAGACAAAAAUGAUUAUAAGGGACAAGAAGACCCUUUUAAAGUUAAUUAAUAGGGUAAUAUUUUACAUAUAUUAUUAUUGUAUUAUUAUUUAGGUUAGUUUGGCUGGGGCGGCAAAUGUAAUUAUAAACAACAUUUAAAAUAAAUAUGGAAAAAGCUGUUUUUAAGGUCUUAUUAGAAGACAGAAAGAAAAAGUUACUAAAGGGAUAACAGCGUAAUAUGUUUUAAGAGUUCUUAUUGACAAACAUG
rnacentral:rRNA from 1 species